ensembl:misc_RNA 7SK 7SK RNA
AGCUGAGGGCGAUCUAGCUUCAACAUCUGUGGCCCCAUUGAUCACCAGAGUUGACUGGGUUGAUCUGGUCGGUGGGAGUCCCCUUCUUCCCUCCCUGCUCCAGGUGAGCCUCUCCCAAAGCUGUGUAUUCAGUGGAAGAGGACAAUCACCCCUAAGAAGAGGAGGAGGACCCUUUUCUCAGCAAGGGUAUACAAACAGUAGUACUCCCCUGUUAGAAUCUCCAAACGAGGUCUUAAGAAACUGAGGCAAGAGGAUUACAGCAAGUCUAGCCUAACUUACCUAGUGAGGCCCUGCCUCAGAAA